GAAAAUGAGAAAACCACUUGCGCCAUAAUUUUCCCAUUUCGGAGGCUAUCUUUUUGUUAGCUCACAAAACCGGAGUCGGUGAGGGGACACGUGGAGGGGGGAAGUUGGUCUGUUGUGAUUAUAAAUAACCAGCAAGGAAGGGAAAACCCAAGCCCAUUGAUAGGGUUAUAGAAAUAGUAAUAGUAAUAGACGGUUGCGUUUUUAGCAAAGCCAAAAUUUUCCCUAAAGGAGUUGGAGAUUGAUUCAGUUACCGGCGGUCUCUAAUUCGCUUGGUGCAGGUCGGGAACUGAUUGGCUGCUGCUCCUUAAUAGUGGAUUGGAUUGGAUUUAGGCCAGAUGGCGGGCCGUGACUGGAGGAAGCAGGAAUUGGAUCCCGCCUUGCAUCAACUGAAUCGGAGACCGCGGUGAGGGGUUGCAUGGAUCUUGCCUUCUUUUUAUGUGUUAUGUUCAGAUCUCAGGAGAUACAUGAAGGUAACUAUCGUGCCCUAUUAAUCUUUUAUUUCCCUUUGACGAUACAAAUGUGAAGGCAAUGACUCGGGACCCAGAGAGGUAAAAAAAUUUUAAAUUGCCCAGAUUUUUCUUGUUUUAAUAAAAAAGGGAUGGUAUUGUAGUAAUAAAGGAAACGCAAUGACUACUUGCAUAAUGCUUUUACUUAAAUAUUGGAAUUAGUUCUGUAAAUAUAUAAUUUUUUAUAUUUUGGAAUUAGUUUAGUUCCAUAUUUUGUUAAUUUGGAGUAAUAUCCAUUCUGUUGGUUCUUUUUUUUUUCUUUUUUGGAUGAGUAAUAUCCAUUCUGUUAGUAGCCUUUUUAAUGUAGGUGCGACUUUUUCUGUGAUAUCUGAAGUUUAUGUGUCUGGUCAGAACUGAUCUAGUGUUUAUUUAGGUGAACUUCUUCUGAAGAUUUUGAUACGUAAAAUUGUUAAGAGGAAAAAGAAAUUAAACCCCAUAAAUUGAUAAAACUUGAUAUUACAUAUUAUGGCAGAAGAAAUUUUCUACUACUAGUUCACACAAGCCCUAGUUUUUUGUAUAUUUAUUAGUCUAGGUUCUUCUACCCCAAAAGAACAAGGCCAGGUUCUAUAUUUUUUUUUAUUUUAAUUUUUGUUUGAUCAUUUUUCGUUGCAAUUUUACCAUUUCCUCACAAGCCUUUUUGGGGAAUAAAUCUCAUUUUCAGUAUAAUGUUUUUGUUAAUAUUGACUCUUUCUGACUUUGAUCAAUUAGUUUCAAUAGCCUGAUAAAUAUAUAUAUAGAGAGAGAGAGAGCUGAGGUGUCUUAAAAUUGUCAUUUUAACUUCUGGGUUAGUCUGAACUAAUUUGAACUUUAAGUUUCCGUCGUGUAUUUAAAAGUUAGCAAAUGGUUUCUUCAACUGUAAAAGGUAGUUAAAAGAAAAAUAGUACACUGAACUUUAUCUCAACUCUAUUGAUCUUUGCAAGUUUGCAAUUGUAGGUUUCAAUUUGAAGGUGAGGGCCUUUGACCAUACGUUUUAGGCUUCAUUUAUGGUUCAAUGAGGUUGCAUUUCAUCCUUGUAAUAAUGAUUAAAUUAAGGUUCUGUAUUUGCUUUUUGUUAACAUGUUUGGUAGUCCUUCUAGAUUGAUGUCUGGUCUUGACUCUUUCCUCAUUUUGAACAUUUAUCUAUAUUUCUCGCUUCAAAUUUGAUGCAAUUGAUUAGUUGUACUGACAUUUUGAUUCUAAUUGUCUCCCAUGAUGUGAUUUUAAUUUUAUUUACUGCGACCAAUUUGAACUUUGAAAAUCAUAGUAAAUGCCAUUAGGGUAGAACUGCAGUUUCUGUGCUCGGGAAUAUUCCCUAUUUCAAUUUUAUUUUAAUGCUCCUUGCUUAACUCAAUUUGAGUUGUAAGAUUGUCCGUUAUUUAUUGAUUCAUUUAAAGGCUCUGAGAUUUACUUGAUGGAGGGUGUUUGAUAAAAAGGCUUUAAGCUUUUCAGAUUACCUGUAAUGGCUUUUAAUUUGCAGAGCUGCUGGAGGUAUUUCAAUGAAUGGAAAAUCCCCUUAGGAAGACAUUGAGAGAGACUGAAAAUUUUAAACAAUUGACAUGCUCAAAUAACUUUUGUCCUGGUAUCUGAAACUUUAGAUUGCAACUCUAUUCAGUGUGUGUGGCUAUUCAUUUCUUUCUGCUGCUGUUUUGUCUCAUUAUAAUAAUAUUGUUGACAUUUUAUCGACUUGAGAAGAUGGGUGGCUUGAAAUUCAAUAUUACAGGUGGAGACAGCAAUUGCUGUUAGAAUUAUCCAUUGAUGGUUGAAUUGUCUUUUCUAGUUGAAGUGCUAGUUGUUUGAUUCUUUGUGGGAACAUCUGUAGCAAUUAGCAUUAACUAACCCAAAAAUUUCCCCCUUCUCGGAUGCUAAUGUACAUUUGAAUUGUUCUUUCCUUUGGCCUUUUGCAUUGGUAGGUUUGCAUUGCUUUUAACAGCAUACUUUCUAGAAGCUCCUUUGCACUUAUUAUUAGAUCUGUAGUUCCUAUCCUUACCGACCAUAUUGAUUUAACAAUUGGAUGUAUAGUUUGUACUUGGUGUAUAUUGAUAUUUUUGCAUAUGAAAAUUGACCUUUUGUUCCCCAUUGAGUCGAUAUUCAGCUGUGGAGCCUUUUGUUAAUCACUGUCUGAAGGCUGCUGCAAUAUUCUUGCCAAAUUUGUAAAUGGAGCAUUUCUGUAACUUUAUCUACUCAUCAUUUUGGCUUCAAAUCUCAACACUACUUUUGUUCUUUUGUUGUCCUUUACUUUGCAAGCGGAGUUCCAAAAAGCCUUAGCAUAUCCCUUACGAUAGGUUUCCUUUCCACCCAAAAUUCGCUUUUGACUAAUUGAAGAUGUUAGUGCCACAGCAGUUAAUUAUGUAAUUUGGAAAAUGAUGGAGAGAAGAUGUGAGACUGUGAGACGGGAGGGGGUUAUAUACUGCACCUCUUAGUUUGGGGCUUAUGGUCCUCGAGAUUGCAAUUGGAGUGUGAAAACUAAAUCUUUCUAUUUUUUGGGUGUCAGAAUGGAUGUUUUCUCUCUGGGAUGAGAUGGUAACUGAUGGAUCAAUUCUCAUUAACUCAUUCUCAUAUUCUUUUGCUUUUGCCUUUCUUUCCCUUAAACGUUAAAAUGUAAAAGCUGUAUUUUCGGCCAAUAUAGAGGAUUUUUAUGUUUAAAAGUUUACUCCUGUGCGGGAUUCAUGUAAAUGCAAGUUUAAAUCAAGGGCAUCUUAGUAAUGUCAGCACAAUCCUAUUUACUGCAUAUCUUGUCUUGUGAAUAUAUCCAGCCUACCGUUUGCAUGCAAGUAGAAUCCUUGCCCUAACGUUUUUUUGUCCUCGAGGAUACAUUAUUAUGUGUUAUUAAUGUCCUUGUUGUGGACACAUUGUUAUGUGACAUUAAUGUCCUUGCUGUAGACAUACAACUAAAUCAAAGCGAGUUAAUAACUGUAGAAUGCUGAUAGCAUGGAUGACAGAUGCUACGGAGGGGCCUGGAACGAGGAUUCUUGGAUGGUGGUUCACUUUCGAAAUGAUGCCAUUUUAUUUCAACCUGGAAAACAGUAAGGUCCCUUUCAUGUUGGCGCCAGGCCGUUUCUUUCCCAUUGAACUGCUUUACACAAUUGGUUACUAGGCUGGAUGAGGAGGACCGGUGUUUUGUUUGGGACCCAUGUGAUGAAUUUUCAAUUUUGAUGGUGGCUCUGAUUUUCUCUUUCUUAGCUUUGUACAGCUCAGUUGCUUUAGAAAAGCAUCUUUGAAGCUGACAUGAAGAAGCACGGAUGCACAAUUUUGGUUCUGGUUGAUUGCCAGUCUUUUCGCGGACAACAAUUGGCUCAAAAAGUGGGGUUGAAAAGAGAACACUGUGAAAUAAUUGCAGGAUUUGCCUGACUUUUAAAGUUUUCAGGUGGUUGUGAUGCAGGAAGUGAAUUUGUUAGAGUCUAGUUGAUUGAUUGAGAUUUGAGAGAUUUUAUUAUGGUAAGUAAAUCAAAUGUCCAAAAUUUCCCAAAUUAUGAAACUAAGCUGAAGUCCAUUUCUCUCUUGCACAAACUUUUCUUUUUUUAAAGCCUAACCUCCGUUCUUGAAACUGGUUGUGAAGGCAAAGGGCAAAACUUUAGACCCA